CCUACGGGAGGCAGCAGUGGGGGAUAUUGCACAAUGGAGGAAACUCUGAUGCAGCAACGCCGCGUGAGGGAAGAAGGUUUUCGGAUUGUAAACCUCUGUUUUUAGUGAAGAAACAAAUGACGGUAGCUAAAGAGGAAGCCACGGCUAACUACGUGCCAGCAGCCGCGGUAAUACGUAGGUGGCAAGCGUUGUCCGGAAUUACUGGGUGUAAAGGGUGCGCAGGCGGGAUUGCAAGUUGGAUGUGAAAUACCGGGGCUUAACCCCGGAGCUGCAUCCAAAACUGUAGUUCUUGAGUGGAGUAGAGGUAAGCGGAAUUCCGAGUGUAGCGGUGAAAUGCGUAGAUAUUCGGAGGAACACCAGUGGCGAAGGCGGCUUACUGGGCUCUAACUGACGCUGAGGCACGAAAGCAUGGGUAGCAAACAGG
rnacentral:rRNA from 1 species